GAUGAACGCUGGCGGCGUGCCUAAUACAUGCAAGUCGAGCGAACCACUUCGGUGGUGAGCGGCGAACGGGUGAGUAACACGUAGGUUAUCUGCCCAUCAGACGGGGACAACGAUUGGAAACGAUCGCUAAUACCGGAUAGGACGAAAGUUUAAAGGUGCUUCGGCACCACUGAUGGAUGAGCCUGCGGCGCAUUAGCUAGUUGGUAGGGUAAAGGCCUACGAAGGCGACGAUGCGUAGCCGACCUGAGAGGGUGAACGGCCACACUGGGACUGAGACACGGCCCAGACUCCUACGGGAGGCAGCAGUAGGGAAUCUUCGGCAAUGGGCGAAAGCCUGACCGAGCAACGCCGCGUGAAUGAUGAAGGCCUUCGGGUUGUAAAAUUCUGUUAUAAGGGAAGAAUGGCUCUAGUAGGAAAUGGCUAGAGUGUGACGGUACCUUAUGAGAAAGCCACGGCUAACUACGUGCCAGCAGCCGCCGUAACAC
rnacentral:rRNA from 1 species